rnacentral:lncRNA from 1 species
CCGCUUCCUCAACACACGCCUCAAUUCCAUUCCCCAAAAAAGCCCUAGAAUUCCCCAUUCGCACUCCCAAACUCCACCACCGCCGAGCCACUUUCCUCCGCCCUCUCGCCGCCGUUGAAGCACCUGAGAAGGUAGUCCAGCUCGGAGAUGAAAUCUCCAAUUUAACUCUCGCUGACGCUCAGAAACUCGUCGAGUACCUUCAGGAUAAGCUUGGUGUUACCGCCGCAUCCUUCGCUCCGGCCGCCGUCGCCGCCGCUCCUGGCGCCGCCGCCGAAGCUCCUGCUGUGGUGGAGGAGAAGACUGAAUUUGACGUUGUUAUUG